rnacentral:rRNA from 1 species
CCUACGGGAGGCAGCAGUGGGGAAUAUUGGGCAAUGGGCGCAAGCCUGACCCAGCAACGCCGCGUGAAGGAAGAAGGCUUUCGGGUUGUAAACUUCUUUUCUAAGGGACGAAGAAAGUGACGGUACCUGAGGAAUAAGCCACGGCUAACGACGUGCCAGCAGCAGCGGAAAUACGUAGGUGGCAAGCUGUAUCCGGAUUUAGUGGGUGUAAAGGGCGUGUAGGCGGGGAAGCAAGUCAGAUUUGAAAACCACGGGCGCAACCUGUGGCCUGCAUUUGAAACUGUUUUUCUUGAGUACUGGAGAGGCAGACGGAAUUCCUAGUGUAGCGGUGAAAUGCGUAGAUAUUAGGAGGAACACCAGUGGCGAAGGCAGUCUGCUGGACAGCAACUGACGCUGAGGCGCGAAAGCGUGGGUAGCAAACAGGAUUAGAUACCCCUGUAGUC